rnacentral:rRNA from 1 species
GGAAUUAUUGGGCGUAAAGAGCUCGUAGGCGGUCUGUUACGUCCGCUGUGAAAACCCAGGGCUUAACCCUGGGCUUGCAGUGGAUACGGGUAGACUAGAGGCAGGUAGGGGAGAAUGGAGUUCCCGGUGUAGCGGUGAAAUGCGCAGAUAUCGGGAGGAACACCGGUGGCGAAGGCGGUUCUCUGGGCCUGACCUGACGCUGAGGAGCGAAAGCGUGGGGAGCGAACAGG